rnacentral:rRNA from 1 species
UACGUAGGUGGCGAGCGUUGUCCGGAUUUACUGGGCGUAAAGAGCGCGCAGGCGGUCGUAUAAGUCGCGUGUGAAAGCCCCCGGCUCAACUGGGGAGGGUCACGCGAUACUGUUCGACUCGAAGGCAGGAGAGGGAAGUGGAAUUCCCGGUGUAGUGGUGAAAUGCGUAGAUAUCGGGAGGAACACCGGUGGCGAAGGCGGCCAUCUGGACGGAUACUGACGCUGAGACGCGAAAGCGUGGGUAGCAAACAGG